CGCUUACCUGGCCAAGGCAAGAGCAGGGCAGAGCUUGAGAUGGGUCCUCCCCCUCCUGUGCCCCUGCAGGCCCACCACAACCCGGGGCAAAGGGGCUGCUGUGCAGGGAGAUGCCAGCCUCACCCCUACAAACUCUGGCCCCUGUGAGCCAGUGCCUACACCAUUCCCACCAGGUGUCAAGAGACUGGAAGGAUCCAGUGUGAAAAUACACAACCCCAUGGCACGAAGACAUGCGUAUGUGGGCACUAUGAACAUUUGUUCCCUUCCCAAAUUAGGCACACAAGCCUGGAGCCUUGUCCAGUCUGGUCUCCAGGAGAAGCAGCAGCUGCUCUUAACACGGGCGGCCACGUGGACAGACAGUGUGGUGGAGCCGGCAGAAUUCCUCCAGACCCAGCUCCUCAACUGAGACCCCAGAACUUCUCAUCUCACCCCCAGAGGGAACACCAGGCAACAUGGCCAUGACCAGGCGCUCAUCCCACAGGCCAACAGCAAGCAAGGGCAGGUGCUCCAGACAGUCACUACACUCCCAGAGCAGGCAUGGCAGGCAGCGAGCCUGGUGACUCGGCAAAGGCAGACACUUACUUUGUCACAGAGGUCAGAACCUUCUGUCUUCAGCCUGGACUGUAGCAGUGCCACCUCACUGGUCAAGGCCUUGUGCUCCAACUCCAGGCUCUUCUUGCCGCUGUUGAGGGUGGACACAUCCCGGGACUGUUUGUAUCUAUUGAUCGUCUCAUCAAAGUGGCGGUAGAGACCUAUUCUCUUGUUGACCAGGGUCAAGACCUGCUCUGUGAUGCAGGCCACCUUCAUCCUGGCCUCUGCAGCUGGAUCCUAGGGGAGAGACACCACAUCCAGGCCUAGGUCCACUCUGACCUUCCACCUCCCAAGGAGCACAAAGAGCUGUGCACAUAAGAAAGUCCAUCUUCUGGGAAAGAGAAUCAAAUUUGCUAACACUGACUCUGGACCCAUUCAGCAACAGGGAGGAUGGGACAGAAAGUGAAGCAGACAUUCAUGCCCAAGUCCAAUAGGUCAGACAGACGGUGUGAAAGGGAAACUAACGCCAGAGUGUGCCAUGAAAGGGGUAGUGAGGGAGGAGAGAUCGCAGCUCAGCCAGGGAAAGUUUUCCAGGACCUUUACUAUGUCCUGUUCCCUCCUUAAAACCUUCAAGGGUUUCCAGGGCCUAAAAGAUGAAGGCCAAGCUCCUUAGCCAGCUGGGGCCCUAUAUACACUACAGAAUCUCUCUAUCUUCUACUGCAGAAGCUCUGAGCAACUCAAAAGGCUAAACCUGGUCUGCAGACGGCUGAUUUGGCCCACAAUGCUUUCAAAUAGAGAUGGCGAGUUCCCAUGUGGCUCAGCAGAUUAGGGACCUGAUAUCCCUGUAAGGAUGUGGGUUUGAUCCCUGGCCUUUCUCAGUGGGUUUUCACAGGCUACAAUGUAGGUUGCAGGUACAGCUCAGCUCCCGCGUUGCCUUGGUGGUAGCGUAAGCCUCAGCUGUAGCUUUAAUUCAGCCCCUAGCCCAGGAACUUCCGUAUGCCAUGGGUGCAGCCAUAAAAAGAAAAAAAUGAUAAAACAGAGUUGUAUACAUAGGAAAUUGGUUAAAUAAACUAUGACCCAUCAAUA